rnacentral:rRNA from 1 species
CCUACGGGUGGCAGCAGUGGGGGAUAUUGCACAAUGGGGGGAACCCUGAUGCAGCGACGCCGCGUGGGUGAAGGAGCGUUUCGGCGCGUAAAGCCCUAUCGGCAGGGAAGAAGGAGGACGGUACCUGACUGAGAAGCCCCGGCUAACUACGUGCCAGCAGCCGCGGGAAUACGUAGGGGGCAAGCGUUAUCCGGAUUUACUGGGUGGAAAGGGGGCGCAGACGGCAGCGCAAGCCAGGAGUGAAAGCCCGGGGCCCAACCCCGGGACUGCUCUUGGAACUGCGCGGCUGGAGUGCAGGAGGGGCAGGCGGAAUUCCUGGUGUAGCGGUGAAAUGCGUAGAUAUCAGGAGGAACACCGGUGGCGAAGGCGGCCUGCUGGACUGCGACUGACGUUGAGGCCCGAAAGCGUGGGGAGCAAACAGGAUUAGAUACCCGUGUAGUC